rnacentral:rRNA from 1 species
UACGAAGGGGGCUAGCGUUGUUCGGAUUUACUGGGCGUAAAGCGCACGUAGGCGGAUUCUUAAGUCAGGGGUGAAAUCCCGAGGCUCAACCUCGGAACUGCCUUUGAUACUGGGGAUCUUGAGUUCGGGAGAGGUGAGUGGAAUUGCGAGUGUAGAGGUGAAAUUCGUAGAUAUUCGCAAGAACACCAGUGGCGAAGGCGGCUCACUGGCCCGAUACUGACGCUGAGGUGCGAAAGCGUGGGGAGCAAACAGG